rnacentral:lncRNA from 1 species
CAAUAUGUAAACACGAUCAAAUGAUCUUGUCUGUUCAGUCGCAUAGCAUUAUGCUUAUUUUGUGUUUCCGUUCCAUUUUUAUAAGGUGUACAAUUCUCUCGGAUUUUAUCCAUACUGUUAUACGCGAAGCAGACGACAUUUUACAAAUGUCGGAUCUGAGUGUGACUGACAAACGGAAUAAUGUCCUUCUACAAGCAUGAAGAUACUGAAGAAAUUUUUGCGUAAAUAAUGUAAAAAUCAAUACUACUGAAUUAACUACAUUUGAACCAUCGGAGAUAGAAC